GCAGGGCAUGGUGGUGCACACCUGUAAUCCCAGUGGCUCAGGAGGCUGAGGCAGGAGGAUCACGAGUUCAAAGACAGCCUCAGCAAAAGCAAGGUGCUAAGCAACUCAGUGAGACCCUGUCUCUA
rnacentral:sRNA from 1 species